rnacentral:rRNA from 1 species
GUCCUUUAGAAUUUAAUUUAAGGUCUAACCUGCCCACUGAAUUAUUUUAAAUGGCCGCAGUAAUUUGACUGUGCAAAGGUAGCAUAAUCAUUAGUUUUUUAAUUAAAAGCUUGUAUGAAAGGUUGGACGAGGUAAAAACUGUCUCUAAUUAAAUCAAUUUAGAAUUUAACUUUUAAGUCAAAAGGCUUAAAUAUUAUUAAAAGACGAGAAGACCCUAUAGAUCUUUAUAAUUUUUUUUAUUAAAUUUAAUUAAGAAUUUUUAAAAUUUUAUUAAUAUAAUUAUUUUAUUGGGGUAAUAUAAAGAUUAAAAUAAUUCUUUUUUUUUAUUUACAUAAAUUUAUGAAUUUUAUGAUCCAAUUUUAUUGAUUAUAAGAUUAAGUUACCUUAGGGAUAACAGCGUAAUUUUUUUAGAGAGUUCAUAUCGAUAAAAAAGUUUGCGACCUCGAUGUUGGAUUAAAGAUUAUUUCAGGUGUAGAAGUUUGAAAAUUUUGGUCUGUUCGACCAUUAAAUCUUUACAUGAUCUGAGUUCAGACCGGUGUAAGCCAGGUCGGUUUCUAUCUUUAAUAAAUUAAAAUAUUUUAGUACGAAAGGACCAAUUAUUUAAUAUAUAAAUAUUUAAAAUUUUGAUUAUUAUUAA